rnacentral:rRNA from 1 species
GGAUUGCCUCAGUAACGGCGAGUGAAGCGGCAACAGCUCAAAUUUGAAAGCUGGCCCUUUCAGGGUCCGCGUUGUAAUUUGUAGAGGAUGCUUCGGGCGCGGCGCUGGUCUAAGUUCUUUGGAACAAGACGUCAUAGAGGGUGAGAAUCCCGUAUGUGACUAGCUGCCUGUGCCUGUGUGAAGCUCCUUCGACGAGUCGAGUUGUUUGGGAAUGCAGCUCAAAAUGGGUGGUGUACUUCAUCUAAAGCUAAAUAUUGGCCAGAGACCGAUAGCGCACAAGUAGAGUGAUCGAAAGAUGAAAAGCACUUUGGAAAGAGAGUUAAACAGUACGUGAAAUUGUUGAAAGGGAAGCGCUUGCAAUCAGACUUGCGCGGCGUCGAUCAGCCUGGGUUCUCCCUGGUGCACUCGGCGCUGCUCAGGCCAGCAUCAGUUUCAGCGGUUGGAUAAAGGCCUAGGGAACGUGGGUUACUUCGGUGACUGUUAUAGCCCUAGGUGCAAUGCAGCCUGUUGGGACUGAGGACCGCGCUUCGGCUAGGAUGCUGGCGUAAUGGUUGUAAGCGACCCGUCUUGAAACACGGACCAAGGAGUCUAACAUCUAUGCGAGUUUUUGGGUGUCAAACCCAUAAGCGUAAUGAAAGUGAACGGAGGUGAGAACCCUUAAGGGUGCAUCAUCGACCGAUCCUGAUGUCUUCGGAUGGAUUUGAGUAAGAGCAUAGCUGUUGGGACCCGAAAGAUGGUGAUCUAUACUUGAAUAGGGUGAAGCCAGAGGAAACUCUGGUGGAGGCUCGCAGCGGUUCUGACGUGCAAAUCGAUCGUCAAAUUUGGGUAUAGGGGCGAAAGACUAAUCGAA